rnacentral:tRNA from 2 species
CCCUUGGUAGUCUAGUUGGUCAUGGCGUUCGGCUGUAAUUGUAAAUAAUGAUUGUUACCGAAAAGUCACCGGUUCGAUUCCGGUCCGAGGGA